CCUGGCUCAGGAUGAACGCUAGCGGCAGGCCUAAUACAUGCAAGUCGAACGGUCAGUAGCAAUACUGAUAGUGGCGMACGGGUGCGUAACGCGUAACCAACCUACCCGAAUCUGGGGGAUAGCCCGCCGAAAGGCGGAUUAAUACCGCAUAAAACMACAGWACGGCAUCRUUUAAUKGUUAAAGAUUUAUUGGAUUCGGAUGGGGUUGCGUGCCAUUAGCUAGUUGGRGAGGUAACGGCUCACCAAGGCGACGAUGGCUAGGGGAGCUGAGAGGCUGGUCCCCCACACGGGCACUGAGAUACGGGCCCGACUCCUACGGGAGGCAGCAGUAGGGAAUAUUGGGCAAUGGWCGAGAGUCUGACCCAGCCAUGCCGCGUGCAGGAUGAAGGCUUUCUGAGUCGUAAACUGCUUUUAYCAGGGAAGAAAAAMRGGCAUGCGUG
rnacentral:rRNA from 1 species